rnacentral:misc_RNA from 1 species
UCUCCGUAGGUGAACCUGCGGAGGGAUCAUUACUGAGUGAGGGCUUCGGUCCGACCUCCAACCCUUUGUGAACCAAACUUGUUGCUUCGGGGGCGACCCUGCCGCUUCGGCGGUGCGGCGCCCCCGGAGGCCUUCAAACACUGCAACUUUGCGUCGGAGUUAAAGUAAAUUAAACAAAACUUUCAACAACGGAUCUCUUGGUUCCAGCAUCGAUGAAGAACGCAGC